GCCACUAUAGCUCAAUGGUAGAGCUGUACACUGUUAAUGUACCGAUGGAGGUUCAAUUCCUCCUGGCGGCU